UUUUUUUUUUUUUUUUUUUUUUUUUUUUUUUUUUUUUUUUCUUCUUCAUCCGCAUUGAGGCCA
rnacentral:ribozyme from 15 species